AGGAAUCUGCCUGGUAGUGGGGGACAACGUUUCGAAAGGAACGCUAAUACCGCAUACGUCCUACGGGAGAAAGCAGGGGACCUUCGGGCCUUGCGCUAUCAGAUGAGCCUAGGUCGGAUUAGCUUGUUGGUGAGGUAAUGGCUCACCAAGGCGACGAUCCGUAACUGGUCUGAGAGGAUGAUCAGUCACACUGGAACUGAGACACGGUCCAGACUCCUACGGGAGGCAGCAGUGGGGAAUAUUGGACAAUGGGCGAAAGCCUGAUCCAGCCAUGCCGCGUGUGUGAAGAAGGUCUUCGGAUUGUAAAGCACUUUAAGUUGGGAGGAAGGGUUGUAGAUUAAUACUCUGCAAUUUUGACAUUACCGACAGAAUAAGCACCGGCUAACUCUGUGCCAGCAGCCGCGGUAAUACAGAGGGUGCAAGCGUUAAUCGGAAUUACUGGGCGUAAAGCGCGCGUAGGUGGUUUGUUAAGUUGGAUGUGAAAGCCCCGGGCUCAACCUGGGAACUGCAUCCAAAACUGGCAAGCUAGAGUACGGUAGAGGGUGGUGGAAUUUCCUGU
rnacentral:rRNA from 1 species